GUCUCUUUCCAUCUCCCGGUCUCCGCGGCGUUUCUCUGCCUCCUUCCUCGCCUCUCCCGGCCUCUCUGGCUGUCCCCGGCUCUCUUCCUCACUGCCUCUCUCUUUUUCUCUUACCCCUCUCUCCUCGGCUGCUCUCACCACUUCCUCCCUCCCUCUCCGGCUUCCUUCUACCUCCCCUCACUCUCCCCCCUUUCUCGCCUUGCUCAGGGGGACUCGCUAUCUCUUUCUCUGUCUCUCCUUGGAACAGCGGCCCCCAAAAUGCAACUGAAGCCAUUUCCCUGCUCUGAGACCUCGGACAAGUCACUCCCCGCCAGGGCUGCAGUUUCCUGUCUCUAAAAGGAGUUGAUGAGCAGCUCUAGGUGGGGUGGCGAUGGGGGACGCAGGAGGUGCCCCGUGCCUGUGGUCCCCUGUUGAAGUUCACGCCUCCUCAAAUGCAGCGGCCACCCAGCGCUCGCUGGGUGCCAUGUGUGCCCCACAAAACACCUUUCCUCAGCCUCGAGGACAAGUACCAGAGGCCAGUUCCGCGGGAAAAGUUAAUGGUGGUUUCCUCCAGGGUCCCUAAAGCCCCUCCUGAAAAGUGACUGUGGUUCCCCUCCCCCUGUCCUCAGGUUUUGAGUGGGCACAACCUAAGCUGGAUCUGAUAGGCCCUGUCACCUGCUGGUUCCUCCCUGGUUGACACCAAGCAGAGGGGCAAUGCUCUCUCGCUGUCCUUAGACCCAAGCAGGAGAAAAAUCUACCCUCCCUCCUUCCCUCCCCAUUCCCCAUCACACCAUGAUUGGCUUUUAAGCUUCAGGGAUGUUUCCCGGACCGAGUGUGGCUUCAGAGUCAGAGAGAUGUGAGUUCAAGACCACUUGCUUAGGAGGAAGCAAAAGAGGAGGAGAAGGCAGAGGAAGGCGACGACUGAGAACAAAAGAAGAGCAGUGGCAAAGGAGUGAGCUCCAUGAGUAAUUUUUCAACUUAAAAACAAUUCCCAUUUCCCAGCCCUGCGGAGGCAGGCGCAGCGGAUCUGAGGCGAGGCCGGCCCUCUGACUCGCAGGAGCCUGCCAAGGGGCCCCGGCAAGCUGCUUCAAAGUCGGCCUCUUCAGCACAGGCGCUUUU
rnacentral:lncRNA from 10 species